GCCAGCAUGGCAUAGUGGUUGAGUGUUGGACUAGGACUCUAGAGACCCUGAGUUCGAUUCCCAGCUCAACCA